rnacentral:lncRNA from 10 species
UUAGAGGACUUUAGCUCCAAGGGUCUCAGAUUCCAUGACCCUGUGUCUCUAGUCCUGAAGAAGAAAGAGAAACUGACGACCUGGGCAGAAAACAAAAAUAAAAUGAACUCAGACACAGAGACGCAAAGACCCAGUUACUGGACUUUAAAUAAGAGGAGAAGGUUUGAUCUCUGAAUAAAAAUAGAUAUAACAUGAUUAUAAUGAAGCAUAAGUUUCAAAACCCCUCACU